GUUCAUGAAUGCAAUGGAGAAAAUCUCCAUCACGAAACCAGCAAAGCACCUCACUUCUACUCCGAGCAUCGAGAUAAAACAUAACAAGUGCUUAAGAUGGAAAAAAGGUAGCAAUUCAAAUUAGUUCAUUAAACACGUAGUUUCAUUGCAAGGAUAAACCUAUAUCCAAGAUUAGAUCUGCUUGUUUUGCACAUUCUGCAAUUGGCAGCCAAGUUUGUUACUACUUGGUAUGUUUCUACAGAAAGGAACUGAUAGGAAUUACACCUAGUAUGAGGUCUUGGUAAGAAAAUUUUUUUAGGGUAGCCUUAGGGAGCUUCUACAAAAACGGUCUAGCAUGUGUUCUAUUGGAAAUCGAAAUCGAAAUCAAAACUGAAAUGUGCUUGAGCUGGGUUUCUUGUAUAAUUUAACCGAGUUGUGCUGUGUAAAAUCUAUCAUCAUUUUCCCAAAAGCAAAUACGUGAUAGUUACUAUUUUUUGCUUUUGAUCAUUUACCUUUUACUGUGCGUCUCUCCUAACUAGUUUGAGACUAGAUUUUAGUAGAGUCUGAGCUCUGAUGGCAAAAUGGGCCUUGACGACCAUGAUAAAAGUUUUAUGCUGUCCUGAGAGUAUCUUCCUGAGCAAGAGAGAGCAUUCUGAAGUAGGGAAUGGAGACAUGCAGCACUUUAUGCAGUCCUAAGAUUCGAUUCAAACUAAUGAACCGAUUCGGUUUGGUUCUUUUUUUUUCUAAUUCAAUAUGGUUCAAUUUAAUUUUUAGACUGAUUCACACUGAGUAAAAAUGACAACUUAUUCCUAAGGAUGUCAAUUGAUCG
rnacentral:misc_RNA from 1 species